UGGUUAUGGCACAAGCACUUCGGACACAAUAACUUUUAAAGUCUGAAACUAUUUUGACAGAAAAAUAUGGUGAAAGGUUUUCCUAUCAUUUAUUAGACAAGUGGCAUAUGUAAUAGCUGUCAACUAAGAAAAAUGACAAGGCAAUCAUUUUCAGUGGGACAAGCGUGAGGAGCAUCAAAGAAACUCAAGUUAAUGCAUACUGAUG
rnacentral:lncRNA from 1 species